rnacentral:misc_RNA from 1 species
AAAAAAAAAAAUUCCCUUGGACAAUAGAUCGAACAUUUGAAAACAAACAACACAUCGUCAAUAAGAAACAUUCAUUUGUUUGCCCACUGAAAUGGAAUAGAGGGGCAAAGUAGUUGGUCCAUCCAGUUUUCCUCACAAAGCUCAAGCAUUUACAAUAAAAUUCCAUUUGGUUGAAGAAAACAUAGGAUACAAAACAAAAUUG